rnacentral:lncRNA from 1 species
CCGCAUCCGCCCGCUCCACCCGCUCGAUGGUCAGGGUGCCAGCGCGAACCAGCACCCCUGGGCGGAUCCGGCCCCCCACUUUGCUCCAGGUGACAUGGGGCUGUGGCUCGCCUAGCCCUAGGCACUCCAAUUCCACCUCCAUGCCCGCCAGCACCGUCUGCACCGCUGUCCGGAUGUUAAUCAGGGCCCUGGGAAGAGCCUGCACGGUGAGUGUGGCCCUGUCCUCCACCUGCCCAUGAAGAGUGCUGGCCCGGCACACGUACACCCCCUGUGCCCCUUGUGCCAACUCUGCGAUCCGCAGCACCCCAUCCUGCACACUGUGCCGGGGGGGCAGCUCCCCACCGUCCUUCAGCCACUCCAGGUGCACCCGCGGGUCUGAUGCGGUGCAGGCGAACUCAGCAGUGCUGCCCACCCCUCUCACCAGGCUCCCUGGUGUCACCCGCACGGCCAGGGGACCACCACUGUCACCACCACCAUCACCAUGGACAGUGACGCGGGCGAAGGUCUCGGCUCUGCCCACACGGUUAGUGACCAUGCAGCGAUAGGUGCCAGCAUCGGAGGGCAGUGCAGGGCUUAUGCGCAGGAGGCCGGCACGGGGCACAGCACGAGGGGACAGACUGCCAUUGAGCUUGUCCCAAGUGUAGAGCAGUGGCGGGGUGCCGUGGGCCAGGCACUGCAGCUGCACCGUGUCGCCCGCACGCACCGCGCUGUCCUCUGGUAAGCUUGUGGCGUAUGGAGGGGUCUCCACAUCCAGGGUGACGAAGACCUCCGUGAAGCCGGCGGGGCUGCUGGCAUUGCAGAUGUACUGGCCUGAGUCCUGCUGCGCAGCACGCGGGAUCACCAGGGUGCCAUUCACCACGCGGUGCUGCCAGGGCAGCGGUGCCCGCAGCUUCGACCACUCGAUCCUGGGCUCCGGCUCACCUGUGGCCGAGCAGUGCAGCGUAGCGGUGUCCCCAGCCACCACUGUGACAGUGGGCGGUGCAGUGACCCUGGGGGCCCCAGGGUGCCUCUGUGCCGUCUCCACGCUGACGUCCACGCGAGCUUGCGCCGAACCCAGGGCACUCUGUGCUGUGCAGAUGUAGGUCCCGGCGUGCUCUGGUUUGGCUGGAGAGAGCUGCAGCACGGCCUGGCUGUCCAUGUGCAGCAGCGUCUGGUGCUCCACCUUCUGUCGUGAGCCCAGUCGGCUCCAGCGCACCAGGGGCCGUGGCUCUCCCCGGCCCAGGCACUCCAGGCUAAGAGAUUUGCCCUCCUUCACCGUCACAGGGCCUGGUGGCAUUACUGAC